rnacentral:rRNA from 1 species
CAAGGAAUCUUGGGCAAUGGGCGAAAGCCUGACCCAGCGACACCGCGUGAGGGAGGAAGGCCUUCGGGUUGUAAACCUCUUUUCUUGGGGAAGAAUUUUGACGGUACCCAAGGAAUAAGCCUCGGCUAACUACGUGCCAGCAGCCGCGGUAAUACGUAGGAGGCGAACGUUAUUCGGAUUUACUGGGCGUAAAGGGAGCGUAGGCGGUUCCUUAAGUCAGAUGUGAAAUCUUCUGGCUCAAUCAGAAGGCGUCAUUUGAUACUGAGGGACUUGAGAGCAGCAGAGGGAAAUGGAAUCCCCGGUGUAGCGGUGAAAUGCGUAGAUAUCGGGGAGAACACCAGUGGCGAAGGCGAUUUCCCAGGUUGUUUCUGACGCUGAGGCUCGAAAGCGUGGGGAGCGAAGC